GUUAUAUUUCCAGUGGUGUGUUCUGUUAUGUUAUCAUUGCAGCAGCAAAAGUCCCAAUUUCUGCACUCAAACUUGAUGAAUGUGGAUUGGUGUGAGCUCAUUUGUGGUUACAACAUUGUUGUAGACGGCUUGACAUAAUUGGUAGCACUUUAGGAAGAGGAUUGGUGAAGGAAAAGAUCACUUGGAAGGAUGCAAUUCGGCACAGCAGUGCACUCCAGUGGAAAUUGUGUAGACUUUCAACACGGCACAAGAGAAAAACAGCCGCAACAGCAGAUCUUCCAAUCAAGUUCAUUCUGCAACAUAUGCAUUUGGCAGCAAAACCACAAACCCCUGUGCAGCAGGGGAAAAUUGGAUCCAUCCUCCACAUCCAUUGCAGUAAAGCCGAGAGAAAGAAUUGGUGCAGUUGAGUUUUUUAAGCAGCAGCAAGGCACCAAAGCUGAGAACGGAAAGUGAAACCACAAGCUAGGAGACUCCAAAAGUAGCCAGCACAUGAAUUUGAACAAGAACCAGAAUGUGGCAGCAGCUGUUCUACUUUUCUUUGUAAUUGUAGUGUUCAUUUUUGAAUUGUAAUAGGUUUUCUGUGUUAGA